AUCCGACAAAGCCAAACUCCGAGUGAUCGGAGGACAGAAAGCGGCGGGUGCUGAGCAAGUCGAAGCAUGGCCGAGCUGCCGAA
rnacentral:ncRNA from 1 species